UGGAUCCAGACUUUGAUCAUGGCUCAGGACGAACGCUGGCGGCGCGCCUAACACAUGCAAGUCGAACGGAGCUUACAGACGGAAGUUUUCGGAUGGAAGGCUGUAAGCUUAGUGGCGGACGGGUGAGUAACACGUGAGCAACCUGCCUAUCAGAGGGGGAUAACGAUUGGAAACGAUCGCUAAUACCGCAUGACAUAGCGGAAUCGCAUGGUUCUGUUAUCAAAGAUUUUAUCGCUGAUAGAUGGGCUCGCGUCCGAUUAGAUAGUUGGUGGGGUAACGGCCUACCAAGUCGACGAUCGGUAGCCGGACUGAGAGGUCGAACGGCCACAUUGGGACUGAGACACGGCCCAGACUCCUACGGGAGGCAGCAGUGGGGGAUAUUGCACAAUGGGGGAAACCCUGAUGCAGCGACGCCGCGUGAGGGAAGACGGUCCUCUGGAUUGUAAACCUCUGUCUUCGGGGACGAAACGAGACGGUACCCGAGGAGGAAGCCACGGCUAACUACGUGCCAGCAGCCGCGGUAAUACGUAGGUGGCAAGCGUUGUCCGGAAUUACUGGGUGUAAAGGGAGCGUAGGCGGGCAGGCAAGUCAGGCGUGAAAUAUAUCGGCUCAACCGGUAACGGCGCUUGAAACUGCAGGUCUUGAGUGAAGUAGAGGUUGGCGGAAUUCCUAGUGUAGCGGUGAAAUGCGUAGAUAUUAGGAGGAACACCAGUGGCGAAGGCGGCCAACUGGGCUUUUACUGACGCUGAGGCUCGAAAGUGUGGGGAGCAAACAGGAUUAGAUACCCUGGUAGUCCACACCGUAAACGAUGAUUACUAGGUGUGGGGGGACUGACCCCUUCCGUGCCUGAGUUAACACAAUAAGUAAUCCACCUGGGGAGUACGGCCGCAAGGUUGCAACUCAAAGGAAUUGACGGA
rnacentral:rRNA from 1 species